AAACCGGAGCUAAUACCGGAUAAUAUAUUUAACCGCAUGGUUCAAUAGUGAAAGACGGUUUUGCUGUCACUUUAUAGAUGGAUCCGCGCCGCAUUAGCUAGUUGGUAAGGUAACGGCUUACCAAGGCAACGAUGCGUAGCCGACCUGAGAGGGUGAUCGGCCACACUGGAACUGAGACACGGUCCAG
rnacentral:rRNA from 1 species